UUAUAUAUAGUAAUGCAUGUAGGAAUACUACAUUAUUUUACACUAUCAGCCUAGCUGACAUGAAUAUCUCACUUACAUUACUAAAUUCAAUCGGCUUACAUUAAUUUUUGGUAAUUGGACAUGGGUUGGUUAUUGCAAUCCUCUCACUAUGUUGGAAACAACUGCUCUGUAACAUCGACAAUAUUAUCUCCAAACUUUGGAUUUAACGUAUUCUACUGCUUAUUGGUGGACAGACUGCCUUGUUUUAGAAAGCCUUUUAACUUAUUUAUAUAUAGGCAUGUUUUUCAAGACAUCUCAAAGAUGAAUUAAUAUUGAAAGAAAGAAGUGUACACAUUUUCAAUAGUUCCAAAACGUAACACAAGAAACACAUAUCCAAAAUGGUUUGGAAGAAACCCAUUGGUACUAAACCAGGAGGAUUCAGUCAAAACUGUAUCAUUAGUACAUUUCUGAAGUUCGGAUAAGCUGCUGUGCAAAACACUCAAAAAUGGCCUACCAUAUAGGACAAAAAGACUGCCAGUUCCUGGAUUAAUGAAAUUAUAUAAACUGAUAUUUUAUAACUGUAGUUAUUCCUGUAUGCACUUGACACAUAAACUUGUAUGCCUAAAAUUAGGUAAACUCAUAACAAAAUCUUAGUAUAAGAUAUUACACAAUUUACGAAAAUUUAAGUACCUGAGAUGCUGUACAGUUGAACAUUUCCAAUGCAAUGUCAUUAAAACCCAAUAUUUCAUUUGCAUUGGCAGGUAAAUCUGAAACAAAAUCAUCUAAAGCUACAUAGUGACAAAUAAUUAUACGCCAUAAGUUAAGUAAAUCAGAUUAAAAUUAGGGAAAUAGUAGGAGUAGUAAUCAAUCAAUUAAUCAAUUUCUUUAUUUGUCAUUUCAUAGAGAAAUACAAAGGGGUCAAAACAGUUAAUAGAAUGUAAAAUUACAAUGUUGUUAGCUUCAGAAAGUUAUAUGGUAAAAUAAAAUAGGUUAUCUUAAUAUACAGUGAAAUCAAUUGUCAUUGUAUAACUCAGCUAGGCUGUGGUAGGGUCAUUCUGUCAACCAUUUGCUGACCUCUCUCUUCAGGACCUGUCCUGUCAUUCUUCUCAGUUGUCCUGGGAGAUUAUUAUGUAGUCUGCAGCCAAUGUAGAGUGGUUGUCUUUCAUAUAGAGUGAGGUGAAAUUGAGGUAUAGCAAAGGAUGAAGCAUGUCUGGUGUGAUAGCUGUGGAUGUUGUUACGUGGUGGAUUUUUAUGGUCAGCAUAAGUGAUUAUCUCUUGAAUGUAGAGGUUGAUCACUGUCAUCACUCCCAGUACAUUAAAAAAUGCAAGGAAAGUUUCUAGAGAUUAUAAAUCUGCAAGUACCCUUAUAGCUCGUUUCUGCAGAAUCAAUACCCCUUCCAUGAUGCUGGGCGAAGUUCCACUCCAAAUAACAAGGCCAUACCUAAUAAAUGUGAUUCACACAGUCCGAAAUAAGCUGUUUUGGUAGUAUUAAUAUCAGCUACUUGUUUAAGUCUUUUCACAGAAAAAAGACCAGAAGAAACUAUUUUGUAAAAGUUAUCAAUGUGAGGUGUUCAAGUGAGGUUUGCAUCAAUUGUCAUUCCUAGCAGUUUGAGCUUGUCUUCUUGCACUACAUUGUACACACCUAGUGUGUCUUUUAUACUUUUGAAAUAUAUCUGCUUUGUAUAUAUAUAAUUAUAAACCUUUUAACACUUUUUAAACUUUUAU